rnacentral:rRNA from 1 species
CACUCCUGCGGGAGGCAGCAGUGGGGAAUAUUGGACAAUGGGCGCAAGCCUGAUCCAGCCAUGCCGCGUGAGUGAUGAAGGCACUAGGGUUGUAAAGCUCUUUCACCGGUGAAGAUAAUGACGGUAACCGGAGAAGAAGCCCCGGCUAACUUCGUGCCAGCAGCCGCGGUAAUACGAAGGGGGCUAGCGUUGUUCGGAUUUACUGGGCGUAAAGCGCACGUAGGCGGACUAUUAAGUCAGGGGUGAAAUCCCGGGGCUCAACCCCGGAACUGCCUUUGAUACUGGUAGUCUUGAGUUCGAGAGAGGUGAGUGGAAUUCCGAGUGUAGAGGUGAAAUUCGUAGAUAUUCGGAGGAACACCAGUGGCGAAGGCGGCUCACUGGCUCGAUACUGACGCUGAGGUGCGAAAGCGUGGGGAGCAAACAGGAUUAGAAACCCCAGUAGUCCCAUGAU